AGCCUAAGCCAAAAUAAUGUUCCUGGGGGCUGGGGGGGAGGAGAGGAAGGAAGGGAAAACGAUUAGAAUGUAAAAUAAAUCAUUUUUUUAUAAAAAAAAACCCAAUGGUUUCUAUCUUGGGCACAUUAUUUUUUUAAAAAACAGCCUUUAUUCCAGGGACCCCUAGAUCACGUGCAAUCUGUACCUUUUUUCUAACUAAGCGCAUUUCCUUCUUCCUCUUGCCUCAGCCAGCCACACCAGCCUCCUUCCUGCCCCUGGAACAUGAAUGACUCUUGCACUUAGGAUAUGUUCUCCUGAGCAUCGGGAAGAUGUGUCUCACUUCACAUUUCUAUUCAAAAGGUAUUUCCUUUGAUGGAUAUCAAGUCCCACCCUCACCAUGCCGUCUCCCUUUUCUGUGCUUUGCCUCUCUGCCUGGCCUGUAUAACCUCUCCUAUCUUUCAUGUCCCUCAGGGCAGGAAUGUUUGUUUUGCUUAUUUUCAGCAUCUGGAACAUGGGCAGACAUGUUCAAACACUCAAUAUUUCUUGAAUGAAUGAGUAUAUAAGAUAUGUUGUACUCCAAUUUAUUUUUAUUUAUUCAACCAAUUUUCCAAGUACCUCGUCUCACCUAGGCACUCUGAGAGAUGAAGACGUAAGCAAGACAGUCUCCCAGAUGCCAAAGAGCUCCAUAUUUCAGAAGAGACAGACAUGUCACGCUGCAGUUCUGGAGGAGAAUAUGCAAAUGCCAACUGCUUUGGUAAACAUAGCACAGAGGGUAUAAUUACCAGUAUGGAGCAAGUAAGCUGGUGCUUACAUGUAAUCCCAGAUACUCAGGAGGCUAAGGCAGAAGGACCACAAGUUUGAGCCAGCCUUGGCAACUUUAGCAAGACCUUAUCUCAAGAUAAAAAUUAAAGGCAGAAGAGAGACUUGCUACUGGGGGCAUACAGUGCUUGCCCUGGCAUAGCCAAGCCCUGGAGUUCCAUCUCCAGUACCAGUGGAGAGAACAAACAUCCAAAGGGCCAAAGAAACAAUGAAGGGAGAGUCCUGUGGGACAAAAUGGAUGACUAUCCAGCUCUACUGGAACAUCUACUUAGAGAUGAAGAGAGAAAUUAGUCCUCGAGAUCUGAGUAAACUUUCUCAGAAAUCACCUCAGAAGUGCAACAACUACACUACAAGCAAGCCCUGUGCUUUUUUUUUUUUAUUUUUACCAAAAACUGACUCUUUUUGUUUAUGUUUUUUUUCUAGACAGGAUU